rnacentral:sRNA from 1 species
GACCUAACCCCUAUGUUUUCAUAAGGUAUGGUUAAAAAUCCUAUCCUACAUAAAAAUGGUUUUCCAACCAGUACUUGUAGGAUAGGUCUAUGCUCGAAAGGGUGUAGUGGCAUUUUCGCAAGGACUUGUC